rnacentral:rRNA from 1 species
AGAGUUUGAUCCUGGCUCAGGAUGAACGCUAGCGGCAGGCCUAAUACAUGCAAGUCGAGCGGUGAUAGCGAUAUCAUAGUGGCGCACGGGUGCGUAACACGUAUGCAACCUACCUUAUACUGAGGGAUAGCCUUUCGAAAGGGAGAUUAAUACCUCAUAACACAUUGAACUGGCAUCAGUUUAUUGUUAAAGAUUUAUUGGUAUAAGAUGGGCAUGCGUCCAAUUAGUUAGUUGGCGAGGUAACGGCUCACCAAGACGAUGAUUGGUAGGGGAACUGAGAGGUUAAUCCCCCACACUGGCACUGAGAUACGGGCCAGACUCCUACGGGAGGCAGCAGUAGGGAAUAUUGGGCAAUGGAGGCAACUCUGACCCAGCCAUGCCGCGUGCAGGAAGAAGGCGUUAUGCGUUGUAAACUGCUUUUAUAUAGGAAGAAAUAGACCUUGCGAGGUAAGUUGACGGUACUAUAUGAAUAAGCACCGGCUAACUCCGUGCCAGCAGCCGCGGUAAUACGGAGGGUGCAAGCGUUGUCCGGAUUUAUUGGGUUUAAAGGGUGCGU